AAAAGAAAGACAGCUCAUUUCGUGUGCAGAGACGUAGACGUACGGUACGUGUAGUGAAAUUGUGUGUCGAUUUAUUUUGCAUUGUACGUUACUGUGCUUUUUUUAUACAAAUUUACCAUGCCAGUUGCAGUUAAAGUAAUAUACUGCGGCGCCUGAGGUUAUGGCUCCAAGUACCGACGGCUGCAAAUAGAGCUGGAGGACGAAUUUGGAGCCGAAAUCACAGUUACUGGAGAGGGCACUCCUAAUGUAACUGGUUACCUUGAGGUGUCUGUCAAUGGGAAGCUUGUACAUU